rnacentral:rRNA from 1 species
AAGACAACUCUCAACAACGGAUAUCUAGGCUCCCGUAACGAUGAAGAACGCAGCGAAAUGCGAUACGUAGUGUGAAUUGCAGAAUUCCGUGAACCAUCGAAUCUUUGAACGCAUAUUGCGCUCGAGGCUUCGGCCGAGAGCAUGUCUGCCUCAGCGUCG